rnacentral:misc_RNA from 1 species
GAUGAAGAACGUAGCGAAAUGCGAUAAGUAAUGUGAAUUGCAGAAUUCAGUGAAUCAUCGAAUCUUUGAACGCACCUUGCACCCUUUGGCAUUCCGAAGGGUAUGCUCGUUUGAGUGUCAUUGUACUCUCACACUCUCCGAUCCUAUGGAUUCGGGGAGCGGUGGACUUGGGUGUUGCUGCCUUUCCCUGUGGCUCACCUCAAAUGCGUCAGUGCACCUCUUGGUUGGACAUAGUACGGCGUGAUAAGUGUCUUCGCCGGCACCUCGCAAGAGGGUGGCCGAUCGGGAGCUCUGCGCUUUCAAACCGUCUUCGGACAAUUUCUGACAUCUUGACCUCAAAUCGAGUAGGACUACCCGCUGAACUUAAGCAUAUCAAUAACGGAGGA